rnacentral:rRNA from 1 species
AACGAACGCUGGCGGCAUGCCUAACACAUGCAAGUCGAACGAGAUCUUCGGGUCUAGUGGCGCACGGGUGCGUAACGCGUGGGAAUCUGCCCUUUGGUUCGGAAUAACAGUUGGAAACGACUGCUAAUACCGGAUGAUGACGAAAGUCCAAAGAUUUAUCGCCAGAGGAUGAGCCCGCGUAGGAUUAGCUAGUUGGUGUGGUAAAGGCGCACCAAGGCGGCGAUCCUUAGCUGGUCUGAGAGGAUGAUCAGCCACACUGGGACUGAGACACGGCCCAGACUCCUACGGGAGGCAGCAGUGGGGAAUAUUGGACAAUGGGCGAAAGCCUGAUCCAGCAAUGCCGCGUGAGUGAUGAAGGCCUUAGGGCUGUAAAGCUCUUUUACCCGGGAUGAUAAUGACAGUACCGGGAGAAUAAGCUCCGGCUAACUCCGUGCCAGCCGCCGCGGUAA